UACGUAGGGGGCAAGCGUUGUCCGGAAUCAUUGGGCGUAAAGAGCGUGUAGGCGGUCCGGUAAGUCGGUUGUGAAAGUCCAGGGCUCAACCCUGGGAUGCCGAUCGAUACUGUCGGACUAGAGUUCGGAAGAGGCGAGUGGAAUUCCCGGUGUAGCGGUGAAAUGCGUAGAUAUCGGAAGGAACACCGGUGGCGAAAGCGGCGCGCUGGACCUCUUCUGACGCUGAGGCGCGAAAGCCAGGGGAGCGAACGGG
rnacentral:rRNA from 1 species